CCACCCCUCUGGCUGGGGCAGCUGCUUGGCUGGGCAAGUCAGCCUUAGUCCCCGUACUGCUCUUCUGGUCCCUGAAACUCUGCUGCCAGGGAAGCCAGAGUCACCCAGGAAGGUGUCCUCCUGUGUUGGACCCCGACAGGAAGCCACGUGAGCCCAGCUGGGGUGCAGCCCCAGCCGAUGCCCCAGUGGGCCACCCUUCUCAGGAGAGGCUUCAGGCUCUACCCUCUCUCCCAUGGCGCAUGGACCAGAGCCUGAAGCCGAGGGACUUUUGGACCUCAGCUUCCUGACAGAGGAGGAACAGGAGACCAUUGCUGAAGUCCUCAAACGAGAUGCCCACCUGCGCCAGCUGGAGGAGGGGCGGGUCAGCAAACUCCGGGCCUCACUGGCAGACCCUGAGCAGCUGAAGAUCCUGACAGGUGACUGGUUCCAGGAAGCACGCUCCCAGCGGCACCACCAUGCCCACUUCGGCUCUGACCUUGUCCGAGCCUCUAUUCGCAGGAAGAAGAGCUCCAGGGGAGAACAGGCUCUGGGCAGUGAUGGGGAGGCUGAGGCUGCCGGGAAAGAGACUGAAGAGGAGCCAGAACUCAGGCUCCCCAUAGAACAGGUCCCUCCAGAGAGGCGCAGUGAGACACAGGGACCUGAUGUCCCUUCACCAUACGCCCCCUCAAAGGCGUCAGAUCAUCAGGAGGCCCAGGCCCAGGGAGGGCCGGCAAGACAGGGGCUCACUCAGCAGCUGGUGCCUCACCCAGCCCCUGGCCGAGGGGGCGUGCAGGUGGACGCCGAGGAAAUGGGCCUGGCGUGGAAGCCCUCGCCGCAGGCGGAGAAGGAGCCGCCGCCCCCGCCAGCUCAGACCGAGAUGGCAUCCGAGAUCCUGCAGAACGGGGAGGAGGAUCCGGGGCGCGGCCCCUCACUCGACCGCAUGCUCAGCAGCAGCUCCUCUGUGUCCAGCCUCAGCUCCUCCACGCUGAGCAGCAGCCAGAUGAGCCUGUCGGGGGAGGUGGAGGCGGGCGCGGUGCAGGUGCAGGUGCGCGGCUCUGUGCACUUCGCGCUGCACUUCGAACCCAGUGCCUCCGAGCUGCGCGUGCACGUGAUCCAAUGUCAGGGCCUGGCUGCCGCCCGGCGCGGCCGCUCCGACCCCUACGUCAAAAGCUACCUCCUCCCUGAUAAACAGAGCAAGCGCAAGACCGCGGUGAAGAAGAGGAAUCUGAACCCGGUCUUCAACGAGACUCUCCGGUACUCCAUCCCGCAGGCCGAGCUCUCGGGCCGCGUCCUGAGCCUGUCGGUGUGGCACCGGGAAAGCCUGGGUCGCAACAUCUUCCUGGGCGAAGCCGAAGUGCCCUUGGACACGUGGAACUGGGACUCGGAGCCUACCUGGCUCCCCCUGCAACCCCAAGUGCCCCCCUCUCCCGAUGACCUUCCCAGCCGCGGGCUGCUCUCCCUAUCCCUCAAGUACGUCCCUGCCGGCUCCGAGGGCGCGGGACUGCCUGAGAGCGGGGAGCUGCACUUCUGGGUGAAGGAAGCUCAGGACCUCAUCCCGUUGCGCUCAGGAUCCCUGGAUACGUACAUUCAAUGGUGAGCGGCACUGCGACUUGGACUUCGCUGCUUCACUUUGGCUCCAAUCUCGGAUCAGCCUCUACCUUCAACCCCUGAUCAGUCAGCCUCGGUUGUGAUCACCGAGCAGGGGUGAAGGGGACGGCUGGAGCAAAGGCCAGGAAAGUUGAAGAUGCCUGAGGAGCUGCAUUUCAGGGUGACUGUUGCCUUCAGAGCUGACUGGGGAGCUAAGCCGAGGCUACUGAGGCACCUCCAUGGAGAACUUGGAAGGCCUUGCUGUGGGGCUUGGUCCUGAAUUGUAGUUCAGUGGUUCUCAAAGUAUUCUGGGGGAUCUCUAGGGGCCUUCUAGGUGCUGUCCCAACUUCAGAGAGUGAAAUGGAGCUCAGUGCUACCUGAUGACAGCCGGGCCAGCCGCCAGCGAACAAGGGUGGUUCGACGCAGCCUCAGUCCAGUAUUCAACCACACCAUGGUUUACGAUGGCUUUGGGCCUGCUGACCUGCGCCAGGCCUGUGCU